rnacentral:tRNA from 1 species
GUGGCUAUAGUUCAAUGGUAGAACACUUGGUUGUGGUCCAAGAUACCAGGGUUCAAUUCCCUGUAGCCACCCCA